AGAAUAUGGAAUUACUGUUACCCAUGACUGACAACUUACAGCAGCUAAAUUCUGUGCAAAUGAUGAAGGCAGGGGAUGGGGAUUUUACCACUUCCCUAGGUAUGCUGUUUCAAUGCUGACCACCCUUUCACUGAAGAAACUUCUGUUACUAGCCUGAUCUCCCUUGGCACAACUUGAGCACCCUGAAUAGGCAUCUUUGUGUGGGCAGAGGACAUUGUCCAAUGCAGUAACUGUUGCAUUCUGUGGCCUUGGAAGACAGUGCAGUCCAUUCAACCUCCAGGUACUAUUUUUCAUUAUGAAAUAGUUAAGUCAUAGUUAAGUCAAUAGUUAAAUCAUCAUUAUGAUUAGAGCUCAGAGAUUGCUCCUGUAAUGAAGACUGGGUUCAUUGCUGAUUGUAUCUCCAGACUUCAUAGAGUAGUGGUUUGAAAGGACUAUACCAGCAGAAUUUGUAAUUUACAUAUUUUUGACUGUUUUAUUAAGCCAAAGCCAAGACUCCUUUUGGAUUAGCUAGACAACACUUGUUUUCGGUCUUUGUAUGAUCACAAAAUCAUAGAAUGAUUGAGACUAGGAGAAAUGUCCAACCCCCAUGCUCAAGCAGUGUUGCCCAAGACCACGUUCAGGUGGCUUUUUAAUAUAUUAUUUUUUGAUACAGAGAUUCCAAAACCUCUCUUUGACAAUCUCUUCCAGUGCUCAGUAAAACUUUUCAUGAUGCUUUUUUCCUGAUUCCCUACCCAGGACUGUGGAGUACAUCCUAGGCUCUCAGCUGACUCAUCAUCCAUCCCCAGGCACAGUUCCAUGUACACAAGCUGUUCUGUCACAAAGGGCAAAUUCUUUUCCUCGUCUUCUAAGCUUGUCCUUCCUAAGAGCUUGCAUCCCUCUGUUGGAACACUCCAGCCAUGACAGCCAUUCCACCAUGUCUCUGUGAUCCCAAAAAGAUCACAGCCUGUGAUGUCAGGCAGAUCUCUAGCUCCUCAUGGUUAUUCCCAAUGCUGCAUGCACGUGUGCAGGCACUGCUGAGGGGCACACUGGUGUCCUGCUGGGUUUUCCCAUCACAGUGCCCUGUAGGCACUCCUUGCUUCUGCAUGGAAGAGCAGUUGCUUAUAAGCAAUUAAGAUCAGUUCUGCAGAAUUGCUUGUGCCUCCUGGAAAAACAUGAACAAAACCAAGUCAGGCUUAUUUUAAGAAUGUAUGAUUGGGACAGAAAAUUCUAAUCUGUCCUCAAAUAUU